GACGAACGCUGGCGGCGUGCUUAAUACAUGCCAGUCGAACGGAAAGGCCCUGCUUUUGUGGGGUGCUCGAUUGGCGAACGGGUGAGUAACACGUGAGUAACCUGCCCUUGACUUUGGGAUAACUUUAGGAAACUGGGGCUAAUACCGGAUAGGAGCUCCUGCUGCAUGGUGGGGGUUGGAAAGUUUCGGCGGUUGGGGAUGGACUCGCGGCUUAUCAGCUUGUUGGUGGGGUAGUGGCUUACCAAGGCUUUGACGGGUAGCCGGCCUGGGAGGGUGACCGGCCACAUUGGGACUGAGGUACGGCCCAGACUGCAACGGGAGGCAGCAGUGGAGAAUAUUGCGCAAUGGGCGGAAGCCUGAUGCAGCGACGCCGCGUGCGGGAUGACGGCCUUCGGGUUGUAAACCGCUUUCGCCUGUGACGAAGCGUGAGUGACGGUAAUGGGUAAGAAAGCACCGGCUAACUACGUG
rnacentral:rRNA from 1 species